rnacentral:lncRNA from 1 species
UAUGACUUUCCGGGGUACACGCCACAGGAAAAAGGAAAAAGUCUCAGGUGGGCAUGCGUGUAACUCCCUAAACGCACUGCGCGUGCUCAAUUCCAAAGGCUAAGGAAAGCAUUGCGCAUGCGGGAAACCCACGCUGAGGGAAGAAUCAUGGGAAAGAGUAGAGACGGGGUUCCACCGUGUUAGCCAGGAUGGUCUCGAUUUCCUGACCUCGUCAUCCUCCCGCCUUGGCCUCCCAAAGUGCUGGGAUUACAGGCUUGAGCCACCGCGCCCCGCUCUUUCGUGUUCCAAAGGCUUUUUAAAUAAACUUCCACUCCUGUCCUGGAUUCUGCUUUAUGGCCCUCAGUCGAAUUCUUUCUUCUGAGGAGGCAAGGACUGAAGUUGCUUCUGACCAGUACAGGUACGCCGCAGGAGAAAACGAAUACAGCAGGGAUGACUUCCACCAGCUCCACUUUGCAGCUCUGAGGUGUAUUAAAAAUGUAAGAAAUGCACAGUGUCACCCGUCACUGCUUAUUUCACAUUUAAAAAACAUGAAUAUUCUUAAGAUGACCUGUAGAGGAACUGCUAUAUUUUGUCAUACCCCUAGUCUCUCAAUGAUUCGGAAAGGAAUGAGUGUAUGCUGAAUUUUUUCCAGGUAGGCAAGGAUAUUAGAAUAGGUCUAUCAGAUUCAAUGCAAAUUGAGCCCACAGCCAACACAACCCAUGGGAAGAAAAAAAAAUCAAAUAUCAGGUUUAAUUUAAAGGUAUUUUCAUUUAGAUUGAGUGGCGUGACCAGGUCUUCUGUUCCAAGGAAAGGGACUAUGAAGAAUAAACUUCUGAAGCCUCUAACUCCUAGCAGAAACGCAGGCUUGCAGGAAAAUGCCAACAGUGUAGCAAGACGCCUGGGGAGGGUGCCCAUCCGCUCUUGGCUCCUGGGCUCCUUUGUUUCACAUGCGCUCAUCUUGGCUUUGAAGGCCACGUGAGGAUGAGCAGCUGCCCAGGAACCUGAAUCAGUUUUAUCCUUUACCAACAGCCAGAUUUUUAGUCUCCUCUCAAACACCUCUGAAUCUGCCUGUCAGACUAUAGACUUUAGGUCACCAAAAUUUUUCCAACUGGGGGUGACUGUCUGGGAGCCACAUCCUCUGCCCCACCCCCUGCCACUCUCAGAAGUUACUACUAGUGGGCUGAAUCUAAGACCACAGGUGUGUCUUUGAUCAACCUGUAUUUUGGGCUGAGCGCAGUGGCUCACACUUGUAAUCCCAGCACUUUGGGAGGCUGAGGUGGGUGGAUCACCUGAGAUCAGGAGUUCGAGGCCAGCCUGGGCAACAUGGCAAAACCCCGUCUUUACUAAAAAUACAAAAAUUAUCCAGGCAUGGUGGUGGGUACCUGUAGCCCUGGCUACACAGGAGGCUGAGGCAGGAGAGUCGCUUGAACCCGGGGGGCUGAGGUUGCAGUGAGCCAAGAUCACGCCACUGCACUCCAGCCUGGGUGACAGAGUGAGACUCCAUCUCAAAACACAAAGCAAAACAAAAUCAAAAUAAAACCUGUAUUUUGAAGAGACUGGAUCUUUUCUGGGUUGGCUUGCAUUCUAAAGCUGAUUGUGGCCAGCAAGGCAGAAGAAAAGACAGCAAGGAAAAAAGACGAGAAUUUUGUUUGUCUCUUUUUCAUACGCUUCUAGCUUUCCUUCCCAGGCUCCACCAACACCAACACUUUUUUUUUUUGAGACAAAGUCUCGCUCUUGUUGCCCAGGCUGGAGCGCAGUGGCACAAUCUCGGCUCACUGCAACCUCGCCUCCGAGGUUCAACCCAUUCGCCUGCCUCAGCCUCCCGAGUAGCUGGGAUUACAGGCGCUUGCCACCACACCCAGCUAAUUUUUGUAUAUUUAGUAUAGACAGGGUUUCACCAUGUUGACCAGGCUGGUCUUGAACUUCUGACCUCAAGUGAUCCACCUGCCUUGGCUUCCCAAAGUGCUGGGAUUACAGGCUUGAGCCACUGCACCCGGCCCACCAGUGCUUCUGAGUGCCUUUAAUUGCCCUAUGACUAUGACUGCAUCCGUGGAGUGUAUCAUGGAAUUUAAUCACCUAGUCUGAACUCUCAGCUUCUGGGUGGGUAAAAACAUGGUUAGAAGUGUGCUGUAAAAUACAGGACUAUCACAUUCAAAUGAAAUUACCAAGUUCAAAACCAGAUGGACAUAUUGUCUAUCCACAAAAGAGUAGUGCUUGGAUUUUUUUUUUUAACUUUUCAUUUUGAAAUCAUUUCCAGCUUUAAAAAAUACGAAAACAUUACUGUAUAUCUUUUAUUCAGACUUCCCAAAUUUAAACCUCUUACACAAUCACAAUGAUGUGAGUAAAAUGAGUUCAGAGAUCCACAUUAGGAAAUCAACGUUGAUAUGACGCUAUCAUCUAAUCUUUAGAUAUUCCAAUUUUGUCAGUUGUCCCAUUCAUGUUUUUGUUCUGGUCCGGUCCAGUCAAGGAUCUCACGUUGCAUUUAGUUGUCCUGUUCUCUUCCUUUCCUUUCAUCUGCAGUGGUUCUUUGGUCUUUCUUUGUCUUUCAUGACCAUGACACUGUUGAAGAGUACAGGCCUGCUAUUGUGUAGAAUAUGCCUCACUUUGGAUUUGUCUGAUGGGUCUUCCUGAUUAGAUGUAGGUUGUGCAUUUUUGAUGCAUAUAUCAGGACACUGAUCCAUUCUGGUGAGAUUCACUUUGAUUACUUGAUUACUGUAGUUAUUUUUUCCCCCUCUGCAAAUAGUGCAGUAUCUGAUGAGGAGACACUUUGAAAAUAAAUAUCCUGGUCCUCAUCAGACAUUCACCCAACACUUUUAGCAUCCUUUGAGGAUUCUUACCUGAAACAAUUAUGACUGUGGUGCUUUCUACGUGGUGAUUUUCUAAUUCUCUCACUUCACUGAAAUUGUACAGAAAGGAUGAGUCUCCCUUUCUCCCCUAUUUAUUUACUUUAAAAUUAUUGGCCGGUUGCGGUGGCUCACGCCUGUAAUCCCAGCACUUUGGGAGGCUGAGACUGGUGGAUCACGAGGUCAGGAGAUCAAGACCAUUCUGGCUAACACAGUGAAACCCUGUCUCUACUAAAAAUACAAAAAAAAUAAUUAGCCGGGCGUGGUGACAGGCGCCUGUAUGGGAGGCUGAGGCAGGAGAAUGGUGUGAACCCAGGAGGCGGAGCUUGCAGUGAGCUGAGACUGUGCCACUGCACUUCAGCCUGGGCGACAGAGUGAGACUCUGUCCCCCCCCCCCCCCAAAAAAAGUAUUUAUUUAUGUCAAUAUGGGCUCAUGGAUUCUUAUUUUAUUCUAUGAGAUAUAAUGCAUUGCUGUCAUUAUUUAGUUUCUGGCUCAAAUUAUCCCAGAUUUGGCCAUUGGGAGCCCCUUCAUAGGGGUUUGUGUGUCGUGUGACAUGGCACAUUCCUUGGACACUUUCCUACUUUACAGUAUUAUCAACAUAUUCCAGGCUCGUCUUGUUCUUUCCUUGCUCCAGCUCUUCAUUCAGCCUUUUCUUCAAGGAGCCCUGUGUCUUUUUUUUGGAGAAUGGUCUUUAGAAUCUAAGAUUGGGGGCUGAUUGUUCUCAUCGCUGGUGCAGAGACAUUUCUUCUAGAUCCUCUUAGUGGGCAGAGCGAAGAAAUACAUGUAUAAUACACACACAUUGAGACGGAGCAGGGGCACCCUCUUACAGGCCUGCUGCCCUCCCCAGCCGCAAACAUGGAAACAAAAUCUUGAGUUUUUCAAGGAAAGUAAAUAACAGACACCUAGCUAGCCCUGAGAACCAAAUGAGCAACCUGGUAAGGAGGUAAUUGUAGCUUAAAAAGAAUAGUCAAGGAAGUUAGAGCCACAAGGUGUUUGGUUCCCUGUAGAAACUAAAGAUAACAUCUUAACACGUGUCCUUGAGUUGUUUUUCAGAAACCUAGAGCCCCACCAAAUGAAUCCGCUGGCACGUGGACCUCAGAUGGGGGAAACUGAGGACUGAAUUCUGACCACCCUCCUUUGUUCUAAAUUUCUUCCUGAAGGACCUGGAAGAAGUCAUGCCACGGGCCAGACCUUAACAUUCCUUUCGGCUUACCCCAGGAUUUCAGACAAAGCUUCACUUUCCUAACCAGUCACAAAUCAGAGAAUUUUUGAUUCCACCUAUGACCUGUGAGCUCCUGCUUCAAGAUAUUCCACCUUUUUUAGGCCAAACCAAUGUAUAACCUCCAAGUGUCGAUUUACACUUUCGACUGUAACUUCUGCUUUCCUGAGAUUUACCCCUGCCUUUAAAAACCCUUGCUUGUAAUCCCUCAGGGAGGCCGUGUAUUUAUUAAUCAUGAGCUGCCCAAUUCUCCUUGCUUGGUGCCCUGCAAAUAAACACCCUCUUUUCUCCCACUGCAAAACCUCAGUGUGGAUGUUUGGCUUUACUUCACCCCCAGGAAAGCAGACCCAGGUUUGACUCAGCAACAACAUCUGUUUCUAUUUUUCUCUGUAUAAAUAUUAAAAACCAUAAGUACAUGCUAUCUCCAAUUCCAAUAUAAACCCAUAGGGCUCAUUCUGGCCUUCCCAUUUUCUUAUGUGUAAUUCAUUUCUCUGAAAAUGAGAAUUCGAGUACUCAGAUAUUU